CUGAGGUAGACCCUGUGGCUCUGCCCAGCAUCUGGAAGAUACUCAUGCCCAAGAUCAGGGCCACCUACAGACUGCCUGCUGGGGGAUAUCUCCAUCCCACCGUGUUUGGCAGGGCUGUCCUUGGAAGGCCCGAUCCUUCCGUGUUCUCGUCUGCCCUGGAAUAGGAAACUUCAGUGCUGCCUUUCGUGCCAAAGCCCAGGAUUGCCGACAGAUCCAUGUCGCCGAUGUGCCCGCUGUCCCCCUCGCAACCUCUUUCCCCCCACUCACAUUCCCACCAGGCGACCAGAGGUGGACUGAGGCCACCAGCAGCCCCUCGGCCACGCCAGGUUUCUGCGCGCUUCCCGCUGACCGCAGGGAGCUUCGUGCCAGGCUGUUGGGUCUGAUUUCGGCUGGUCCUAGGGGGCUCAAAUCGAGAAAAUAGUCAACCUAAGAUCCUCCGCGAGACAAGGGAGAGAAGUCCCGGCUUCGCUCAGAGGAGCUGUGUUUGAACAGCAGUGGUUUUUUGUGGCCAAGAAGUGGACAAGUCCCACAGACGAGGGAAAAAUAGGCACGAGUCGGGUUUGCCGUUUUUGCUCAGCUCCUGCCGAAACAUUUUCUGUAGCUCUGACAUGAUGCAACCCCUUAACUAACCCAGAAAAGACUUACCCAGAAAAAUGUCUUCUUGUAGCGAGUCAAAAAUUUCACUCCAGAAACGCUGAAACAAAACCCUUUGACGUUACAGAAAAUAUACCUAUUUGCCUCAGGUUGUUGUGUUUUUUCCCCCCUCCCAACAUGAAACUUUGGACACGUUUUUCCCCAUUAAACAAUUUCGAUUCGCCACAAAUCCCUUUUCAGGGCAUUUACUAUUCCCGUAAAACACAUCGCCCAG
rnacentral:lncRNA from 1 species